rnacentral:rRNA from 1 species
CCUACGGGAGGCAGCAGUGGGGAAUAUUGCACAAUGGGCGCAAGCCUGAUGCAGCAACGCCGCGUGAGGGACGACGGCCUUCGGGUUGUAAACCUCUUUUAGUAGGGAAGAAGCGAAAGUGACGGUACCUGCAGAAAAAGCACCGGCUAACUACGUGCCAGCAGCCGCGGUAAUACGUAGGGUGCAAGCGUUAUCCGGAAUUAUUGGGCGUAAAGAGCUCGUAGGCGGUUUGUCGCGUCUGCUGUGAAAACUGGAGGCUCAACCUCCAGCCUGCAGUGGGUACGGGCAGACUAGAGUGCGGUAGGGGAGAUUGGAAUUCCUGGUGUAGCGGUGGAAUGCGCAGAUAUCAGGAGGAACACCGAUGGCGAAGGCAGAUCUCUGGGCCGUAACUGACGCUGAGGAGCGAAAGCAUGGGGAGCGAACAGGAUUAGAUACCCUGGUAGUCCAUGCCGUAAACGUUGGGAACUAGAUGUAGGGACCAUUCCACGGUUUCUGUGUCGCAGCUAACGCAUUAAGUUCCCCGCCUGGGGAGUACGGCCGCAAGGCUAAAACUCAAAAGGAAUUGACGG